CCCAGUGUGGCACAGUGGUUGAGUGUUGAACUACGACUCUGGAGACCAGGGUUCAAUUCCCAACUCAGACA